rnacentral:SRP_RNA from 1 species
UAGUAGGUAGGAUCGGGGCGCCAGCCGUGCCCCAUAUCUGAAACCGGCUAUAUGCAGAGAUCAGUAACUGCUGGGUAAAUCUCUAGAUGGAUAGUACCUGCUUGACUUGCGGAAAUGAAAUCACGCCGAAGCGGGUGGAUGCAGGACUGAAGCUGUCCGAAGGGAUAGUCUUCAAGACCUAACUGCUGAAAGGGAUGAGGUCCGGGAGGGAGCAAUCCUAAGGCGGAGCAUUCACGCUGCGUCGUCUACGUGGCGGAUCUUGCUUGACUUGAGAUGGGGCUAUUUGUUUAGACUGGAACUAGCAGAGCUACUA